rnacentral:rRNA from 1 species
AGCGAACGCUGGCGGCAGGCCUAACACAUGCAAGUCGAACGGACCCUUCGGGGUUAGUGGCGGACGGGUGAGUAACACGUGGGAACGUGCCUUUAGGUUCGGAAUAGCUCCUGGAAACGGGUGGUAAUGCCGAAUGUGCCCUUCGGGGGAAAGAUUUAUCGCCUUUAGAGCGGCCCGCGUCUGAUUAGCUAGUUGGUGGGGUAAAUGGCCCACCAAGGCUACGAUCAGUAGCUGGUCUGAGAGGAUGACCAGCCACAUUGAGACUGAGACACGGCCCAAACUCCUACGGAGGCAGCAGUGGGGAAUCUUGCGCAAUGGGCGAAAGCCUGACGCAGCCAUGCCGCGUGUAUGAUGAAGGUCUUAGGAUUGUAAAAUACUUUCACCGGUGAAGAUAAUGACUGUAGCCGGAGAAGAAGACCCCGGCUAACUCGUGCC